rnacentral:misc_RNA from 1 species
AAGUCGUAACAAGGUCUCCGUUGGUGAACCAGCGGAGGGAUCACUAGUGAUUAAAUCGAGAGCGUCUUCAUUGACCUCUCACCCUUCACAUCCACAUACACCUGUGCACCGUUUGGCUUUUAUAAAAGACGCAAGUCUGCAAUGAGAGUCAUCAAUUUUAUACAUACCCCAGUCUUAUGAAUGUAACAGUUUUAAUAAACAUAAUAAAACUUUUAACAACGGAUCUCUUGGUUCUC